GUAACAUUUCUAGCUUGCUAGAAGAUGACGAGUGGCGGACGGGUGAGUAAUGCUUGGGAACUUGCCUUUGCGAGGGGGAUAACAGUUGGAAACGACUGCUAAUACCGCAUAAUGUCUUCGGACCAAACGGGGCUUCGGCUCCGGCGCAAAGAGAGGCCCAAGUGAGAUUAGCUAGUUGGUAAGGUAACGGCUUACCAAGGCGACGAUCUCUAGCUGUUCUGAGAGGAAGAUCAGCCACACUGGGACUGAGACACGGCCCAGACUCCUACGGGAGGCAGCAGUGGGGAAUAUUGCACAAUGGGGGAAACCCUGAUGCAGCCAUGCCGCGUGUGUGAAGAAGGCCUUCGGGUUGUAAAGCACUUUCAGUUGUGAGGAAAAGUUAGUAGUUAAUACCUGCUAGCCGUGACGUUAACAACAGAAGAAGCACCGGCUAACUCCGUGCCAGCAGCCGCGGUAAUACGGAGGGUGCGAGCGUUAAUCGGAAUUACUGGGCGUAAAGCGCACGCAGGCGGUUUGUUAAGCUAGAUGUGAAAGCCCCGGGCUCAACCUGGGAUGGUCAUUUAGAACUGGCAGACUAGAGUCUUGGAGAGGGGAGUGGAAUUCCAGGUGUAGCGGUGAAAUGCGUAGAUAUCUGGAGGAACAUCAGUGGCGAAGGCGACUCCCUGGCCAAAGACUGACGCUCAUGUGCGAAAGUGUGGGUAGCGAACAGGAUUAGAUACCCUGGUAGUCCACACCGUAAACGCUGUCUACUAGCUGUGUGUGUCUUUAAGACGUGCGUA
rnacentral:rRNA from 1 species